UCCCCUCUCACAGAGCGCUUCCGGCCAGGGCCCCGCUUGGGCGGCAGUUCCGGGCAUGGCCGGCCUGUCAGACGCGGAGCUCGGCAGGGAGCUGCGGGCCUUGGGCUUCCAGCCGGGGCCUAUCACCAACUCCACCCGCGAGCUCUACGUGAAGAAGCUGAGCCGGCUGCGGGCGGAGGGGGCGCCUAGGCCCCAGUCGGGGAAGACAGCAGCCCCCAGCAUGGCCGGCCUGUCAGACGCCGAGCUCGGCAGGGAGCUGCGGGCCUUGGGCUUCCAGCCGGGGCCAAUCACCGACUCCACCCGCGAGCUCUACGUGAAGAAGCUGAGCCGCCUGCGGGCGGAGGGGGCGGCCGGCCGGAGGAGCCAGAGCACAGGCAGUGCCUCCAGGCCUGAGCCGGCCUCGGCCUCCUACCCUCGCCGCAACCCCAGCCCCCUGGCACACAGGGCCCACAGCCAGGGCCGUAGGGAGAGUGAGGAGGAGGAGGAGGAGGGCUCGGAGGAGGAAGAUGAUGGGUACCAGCCCCCCCGCAGGGAUGUAGCAGAGGGGCUAAACCCUUGGGCCCAGCUGGGGAAGACAGCAGCCCCCGGGAGGCUUGCCCCCAGCACUCAGUGGGGGACAGAAAGGGGGUUCAACCCCAGCUCCCAGUGCGGGACAAGAGAUGUAAGGUUAGCCCCCAGGCCCCAGUGGGAGGCAGAAAGGGAGUUAGCCCCCAGGCCCCAGUGGGAGGCAGAAAGGGAGUUAGCCCCCAGGCCCCAGUGGGAGGCAGAAAGGGAGUUAGCCCCCAGGCCCCAGUGGAGGACAAGGGAUGUGGGGUUAACCCCCAGCACCCAGGGAAGGACGAGGGAUGUGGGGUUAACCCCCAGCACCCAGGGGAGGACGAGAGAUGUGGGGUUAACCCCCAGCACCCAGUGGGGGACGAGAGAUGUUGGUUUAACCCCCAGCACCCAAUGGGAGACAGAAAGGAGGCUAACCCCCAGCACCCAGAGGAGGACAAGAGAUGGGUGGUUAACCCCCAGCACCCAGAGUGGGACAAGAGAUGGCGGGUUAACCCCCAGCACCCAGUGGUGGACAAGAGAUGGCGGGUUAACCCCCAGCACCCAGGGCAGGACAGCAACAGUAGUAGGGGGAUUAAUCCGCAGGAUUCCAUGGAGGACAGGGGGAGAAGGGUUAACCUCCACGAGUCAGUUGACAGGGGCAGCCCCCAAGCAGGGUGCAGUAGGAAAGGGUAAGGGUCUGGAGUUCUACCUGUCCUGGUUCCUGUACCUGGCCACCCUGGUGUUGUUGGUGAUUUUCCUGGGCAUCCUCUGGGCGAAGAUGAUCGGGCCAGGCUGGCUUCUGGGGGCAGAGGAGAACCUUAAACUGUUAACUGUGGAUUGUGAGACAAGGACAGAUGAUUUCUGUCAAGCUAAACAGAAGGACAUGUUAAUGACCAUGCUGUAUGAAUUAUAUAACUACCUGGCAAUACAAGCUGGUAGUUUUGAGUGUGGAAACCCCGAGAAGCUAAAAAGUAAAUGCAUUCUGGUUAGUGAAGCAAAGGAUUAUGUGGCGAAUGUAACCGGUAAUUCCCCAGAGAAGUUUGAAGCUGCCCUGCAAUGGAUACUGAACAGUAACAAUGAUUUAGGGAUAUGGUUAAAAGGGGAAGACCCAUCAGAACCGGUUACCAGUGUAGACCAGGUGGUGUGCCUUGAAUCCACCCGUCCUCGGAUGGGGUUAGGCUGUCGUUUCCGCCGGGCAAUAAGCACCGCCAUUAUGAACCUUUUCAUCUUCUUCUGGAGUCUGAUUGUCCUCUGGGGGAUCCUGUUACUCCUGAAGUAUCGCUGGCGGAAGAUGGAGGAAGAGGAGCAGGCCAUGUAUGAAAUGGUGAAGAAAAUCAUAGAUGCUGUCCAGGAUCACUACAAAGAGUGGGAACAGAGGUUGGAGCGAUACCCAUAUGUAGGCAUCCUUCACGUUCGAGACACCCUCAUUCCACCCCAAAGCAGGAAAAAAAUGAAGCGGAUCUGGAACAGAGCUGUGGACUUCCUGGCUUCGAACGAAUCACGGAUUCAGACAGAGUCACACAGGAUAGCAGGAGAGGAUAUGCUGGUGUGGAGAUGGACUCAGCCCUCUUACGUCUCCGAUUCAGAGCACUAACCAGGAGCAAAGGAGGAGCUGUUGGUUCAGUCUGUGCAAAGGGACAAUUCCCUCUUUGGAUGUGGGAAGGGAUGGACAGGAGUUCUAACUUUCUCAGUUUAGAAUCACCCCAACCCCCUUUCCCCUCUAUUUCUGAGAGACACUUAACAGAUUAUUUUUAGGGCAAUAAUCUUGGUUUGUGAGAAGAUGGACUUGAGCUAGAGAAGGAGCCAGAAGCACACCAAAGCUACCUGUCCAUAGUCAAGUUCCAGGAUCCCGGUGUGCUAGGCGCUGUACAAACACAGACCAAAAAGACGGUCCCUGCCCCAAAACGCCUACUGUCGAAGUAUAAGACGAGCCAACAGGCAAGCGCAAGGAACCAGUGAGAUGCUACUGGUCAGCAUGAUAGUCAGUGGUCUUAGCACACCAGAAGCCUAGCUGUUGUCAGGUUCUUGGUAGGCAGGUGAGACUGAUUUCUGUGGGGAAAUGAUGAUGAUAUCCAUGAAAGGUGUAGACUGAGAAGGAUUAAUCCUAUGUGGACACUUGUGUAAAAGGUGUUGACAGCUUUAUGUAUAAUGAAAUAUUACCAACAUUAACUUCUAACAGCCGAUUGACCAACACUUGGCCACAACACCAGAGGUUAAAGCUGCAGACGUGGGAGCAAGGAGAUAGGUAAUAUGUUUAAAAGUGAUUUAUUGGUUUUGGGUGCCAUGCAUUUAGGAACCCACUCUCUGAAAGCCAGAUCCCUUUAAUGCAGUUCAGGUUGGGCAGCCAUAAUCAUUAUACACUUCUGAAAAUCGUGGGCCUGGGUUCUAUUCCAAUCUGUCACUGACUCACGGUGAUGCCUUGGACAAGUCACUUAAUUGAGUAGGACGACACCUGCCUUUCCAAAGUGCCAUGAGAUCUUCAGAUGAAAAGUGCUAUAUAAAUGCCAAGAGCUAUUGUAGGAAAAACUGGGAAGCAGGUGUGUUGCUUAGUGGAUAGGGUACUGGACUGGGACUUGGGAGAUCUGAAUUCUGUUCCCAGCACUGGCCUGCUGGGAGACCAUGGGCAAGUCACUUCCCCUCUCUGCACUUCUGUUUCUCCAUUUUACAGUUGGGAUAAUGAUACUGACCUCCUUUGUAAAGCAGUUUGAGACCUACUGUUGAAAUGGCUGUAUGAGUGGCAUAAAGUCCCAUACAUGCAAUUCCCUGGGUUAGUGACAGCAUCAGAAGGACGCAGUUGGCCAAUCAGAGCUUUGGAGACCCAAGGUCAAACCCUCCAUUGACGUUAACCCACGCCACCCUGGGUGGGUGGGUAAGUGCCACAACUGGCACCCGACAGCCCUACUGUUACUGGGCUCAGCAGAGGAGGCAAGACUGGCUGGGCCAUGGAGGUUGAACUCCCCUCUCACUCCAGCUCCGGGACAAAGUGCACUGGCAGCAUGGGCCUUGCCGGCACAACCCUUGCUUUUCCCAUCCUGUAGGUAAAUAGAGGCUCUCCUGAUCGUUCUCUCUGUGACAGGGAUAUGCACGGCUCUACACAGGCAAAUGAAACAUCAGCAUCCGUGGGUGUCAAAUCAGCACCACCCCCAGCCCUACAUUCCCACCUAAGAAGAAAAGACUUGUUCUCAGCCAGGUGUCAGAUGACCACAUGGGAGUUCCGCAGUCCUGCUGUCAAAGUGCUCUCAAGUGGCCUGCCUAGUGCCUAAGAUAUACUCUACCAGCUGAGUGGAACAGGGGGAUCAUCUGUGCAUCGACAUUGAACAGCCAGGCACAUUCUGAAAACUUUUGAGUUUCACACCGAAAGCUGAGCCUCGAGACGUCUGCAUGUGAAAGAGAAAAGGAGCAGGCACCACAGAUUGGCGCCAGGGGCGUUAGCUCAUAAAUCACUCUGUCUGCAUCAUUCCUAAGGAUCAUUCUAUGGGGCUCAUGCCUCCUGGUCUCCAGACUCUAUGGAAAUGCCAAGUGCUGGCCAUCAUUGUACUUCCCCAUGCAUGGCAAAUUCAGCAGGAAUAUAAAUAGCCCAGCCUGAAUUGCAUCCCUUUACAAGAAGUAAGGGUAUUGAGAAUAAAAGUCAGAGUGGAGUAUUUGAACACCUUUGUGCUACUCAACAGGGAGGGACUCACUAAAGGAAGCUCCACCUUCUGGUGGUGACUGCGAAAAGCAGGCACAUCCUUGCAGGAAAAAAGAAGAAUUCCAAGGGGGAGACAUGCCAGUUGGUUUUCUCCUGCAUGAAACUUGCUGCAGUGGGAAACUGCGUAGUAUCAGAUGCUCCGGGGAAACAAAAUAGUAUCACACGCUCCUGAAUUUCCUUGUGCAGACAACUCCCCGUGCAAAGAACGUUCUUGCUGCAGACAACCUGAGCAAUCUGAUGUUUCCUGCUGUACCAAGCGCUUUAAGCAAGAGCCAGUGACAAAGGCACUGUGCCUAUCCUAACAAACUGCGGCCUGUGAUUCACUCCCGGUGCAGCUCUGACGGCGGAAGUGGCAAUGUAGGAUAGGGCUUCUGAUGUUGCUGCUGCUAAUGCAACUGCCACUGGUGGGGAGUUACAGGUCUGGAAUUUUCUUCUGGAGACAAGAUCAAAGUCAGAGCUGACUGCUGCCUCUGUUCACUUCCAGUAGGUGCUGAGCCUGGGAGAUAGGCCAGGGGCGUAGGCAAUGCACUUUUUCCUAUUGUGGGGCUCCCCAGGGCUGGUUCAGGCCCUGGCCCAGAUUAGAGCAGCUCUGAGGGAUGCCUUAACUUGCACCCUAGCUGCAAUUGCCCCCUGCACCGAGGGCUCCUACAGCAGGGUCCUAUCGUGCCUGGAGGGCACUGACCCCUGCCAUACACUGCUGGGGGGGCUUCCAGCUUCCCCUUUACACUACCAAGCUGGCACAAAGGUGUCGCAGGGCAAGAGCCACCACCCCCCAUUCUCCCCAAAGCUUGUUUCAACUGCUGCCUCUGUCCCUAGUAGUGGGUUAGGGAUGCAGGGCCUCACCAUUUGUGGGUGCUGGUUUGCUGUGUGUGUGACUAAAGACUAGCAAGCAGGCAGCUCUUCCUUUUGCACAACCUGCCCCUGCCUCUCAGGCGUGACUUCCUUUCAGUGUGAUUUCCAUCUCCAGCUAGCGUGGGACCGUCUCUACCUAGCCUAGCCCUGGCACUUUUUUUCCCCCCCAGCUGAGUCUGGAUUUUUCCAUCUACUCUUUCGCCCCGUCCCCAAAUGGCUGAGCCAUGGAUCAUUCAUGUAUUUUCAGCCCAGCUCUAUGAGUGAGAUAAAAUUAGCCCUUUAAUCUGAGGAGACAGAGCCGCUGCAGUUCACACCGGGGCAGGACACCAGCGUUAGCCGGUGUUUAGAUAACCUAGAAAAGCAGGAUUACACGAAGCAGGAGGGCAUCCAUUCCUCAUCCCCCUCCCUCCACAUAUGUAUCUUGCUUAGCGCUGUGCAUCAGGCUUGCAUUUUAUUAAUAACUAAAGCAACCUAGAGCCGGCCCGCACGUUAAGUAAAGGCUGGGAAAUGAAUUUCACUGUCACCCUGGGAGAGAAUAAGAUUUCAAUUAUGUUCUGGCACAGCAUGGAGAGACUUGCUCAGCUAGGCUGCUGGCAUGGCUGCAGCCUCACACAUUUAAAGGGACACAGGCA